ACAUAGAUUGGUUAGUUUCACGGAUUGCGUGCAGUUUAGUGGCGAGUGGUGGUAAGUGUGGUUUUGGUUGAAACAUCGCUGUGUGAAGACUAAAGAAGGAGUACAAUGGAUAAUGAUACUGCGAGCACUGGAGAUGGCAGAUACCAUGUCAGUACACCAGGAAUUCUCAGCAUCCCCUCAUCCAUUGCCACAGAAAGUACAGUUCUGUCACCAAGAGCAAAACAGACAUACUUCAAAGAGCACAAAGUACAGAUUCCAGAUACAGAAAAGAAAGGAUUCAGUUUCCGAGUCUUAUGGGCUUUCACUGGACCUGGGUUUCUCAUGAGUAUUGCCUAUCUAGAUCCCGGAAACAUUGAAUCUGAUCUUCAGUCAGGCACUGUAGCACAUUACAAGCUACUGUGGGUGUUGCUGUCAGCUACCAUUCUCGGACUUGUGAUGCAGAGACUGGCAGCUCGUCUUGGGGUUGUAACCGGCCUUCACCUAGCUGAGAUGUGCUAUAGGCAGUAUCAGAAAGUUCCACGUAUUAUUCUCUGGUUAAUGGUUGAGGUUGCCAUCAUUGGUUCUGAUAUGCAAGAAGUCAUAGGUACAGCUAUAGCAAUUUUCCUCCUCUCCAAUAGAGUAAUUCCACUUUGGGGUGGCGUUCUUAUCACAGUUGUUGACACAUUCACAUUCCUGCUCCUGGACAAAUAUGGGUUGCGCAAGCUUGAGUUCCUUUUUGCCUUCCUCAUCACAGUAAUGGCUGUCACAUUUGGCUAUGAAUAUGUGGUGGCAUCUCCAGACCAAGGUCAGGUGUUGAAAGGAAUGUUCUUCCCAUGGUGUGACCACUGUACUGGCACAGUGCUGUUGCAAGCUGUUGGCAUUAUUGGAGCUGUCAUUAUGCCUCACAACCUUUACCUGCAUUCAGCCCUGGUUAAGUCACGAGAUGUAGACCGAACAAAAACUGAGAAAGUCAGGGAGGCCAACUAUUACUUCUUCAUUGAAUCAUGUGUUGCUUUAUUUUGUUCCUUCAUCAUCAAUGUAUUUGUGGUGGCUGUGUUUGCAUUUGGACUAUUUGAGAAGACCAAUGGACAAGUGUAUGAUAUGUGCAUUGAGAACAAUUCCACAUUCAGUUAUGUGUUUGAGACACAGGAUAGAACUGAAUUUGUUGAUGCAGACCUUUUCAAGGGUGGCGUUUUCUUGGGCUGUGCAUUUGGGGCAGCUGCCAUGUACAUCUGGGGUGUGGGCAUUCUGGCAGCUGGUCAGUCAAGCACAAUGACUGGCACAUAUGCAGGGCAGUUUGCAAUGGAAGGCUUCUUAAAUCUUCAGUGGUCAAGAUGGAAGCGGGUACUGUUCACCCGUACAAUUGCUGUUGUACCAACAUUUUUUGUGGCUUUCUACUUGGAUAUUAAUAACCUGACUGGUAUGAAUGAUUUGUUGAAUGCUGUCAUGAGUCUGCAACUGCCAUUUGCAACAAUUCCAACUAUUGCUUUCACCAGCAAUCCACAAAUAAUGGGAGAAUUUGUCAAUGGCUUAGCCAACAAAAUAGCAUCCAUAACUUUAUCAGUAGUGGUUAUUGCAAUUAAUACCUUCUUUGUGGUACACUCUGUAAUAUAUGACAUUCCUCAUGAAUGGGGAAUAUGGCUUGCAUUAGCAGUGUUUGUAGUCUUUUACCUGUUCAUGUGUACAUACUUUGUACUACACAUGAUUGUCAGCAUGGGUAACACAAGACUUAAUGAAUACCAGUUCGUAUCCAAAUAUAUAAAGUGUCCAGAAGCAACAGACUUUGGCCUCAGUACACAGAACUUCUCAAGUUAAGUACAAGAAGACAAUGACUAGAUUAACAGCAUGAGAGCCAUUAUAAAAUGUGGGAACCAAGUGUAAAUUUUCCAAGACCAUUUACAACUCAUUAAACUUCCGACUUUUUAUUCAUACAAUAUACGUGCCAAAGGAAAGGAACUAGUGACAUAACACUAAAAGAUGAUGAACAAUGUGAAAAGAACAAAAAUCAAAAGAAUUUAGUUUCAUCCAACUUGGAAGCAGCUAAAUGCAGUAUAUCAACAUUCACAAUACAAGAAGAUGUACUGGGAACAUGGAACAAAAAGUAAGCGCAAGUGGAAAACAA